rnacentral:misc_RNA from 1 species
GAUGAAUAACGUAGCGAAAUGCGAUAACUAAUGUGAAUUGCAGAAUUCAGUGAAUCAUCGAGUCUUUGAACGCACAUUGCGCCCCCUGGUAUUCCGGGGGGCAUGCCUGUCCGAGCGUCAUUGCUGCCCUCAAGCACGGCUUGUGUGUUGGGCUCCGUCCCCCCGGGGACGGGCCCGAAAGGCAGCGGCGGCACCGAGUCCGGUCCUCGAGCGUAUGGGGCUUUGUCACCCGCUCUGUAGGCCCGGCCGGCGCCAGCCGACAACCCAUCAUCCCUUUCAGGUUGACCUCGGAUCAGGUAGGGAUACCCGCUGAACUUAAGCAUAUCAAUAAGCGGAGGA